AGUGAACGCUGGCGGUAGGCCUAACACAUGCAAGUCGAACGGCAGCACAGUAAGAGCUUGCUCUUACGGGUGGCGGGUGGCGGACGGGUGAGGAAUACAUCGGAAUCUACUUUUUCGUGGGGGAUAACGUAGGGAAACUUACGCUAAUACCGCAUACGACCUACGGGUGAAAGCAGGGGAUCUUCGGACCUUGCGCGAUUGAAUGAGCCGAUGUCGGAUUAGCUAGUUGGCGGGGUAAAGGCCCACCAAGGCGACGAUCCGUAGCUGGUCUGAGAGGAUGAUCAGCCACACUGGAACUGAGACACGGUCCAGACUCCUACGGGAGGCAGCAGUGGGGAAUAUUGGACAAUGGGGGCAAGCCUGAUCCAGCCAUACCGCGUGGGUGAAGAAGGCCUUCGGGUUGUAAAGACCUUUUGUUGGGAAAGAAAAGCAGCAGGUUAAUACCCCGCUGUUCUGACGGUACCCAAAGAAUAAGCACCGGCUAACUUCGUG
rnacentral:rRNA from 1 species